UACGGGGGGAGCAAGCGUUGUUCGGAUUUACUGGGCGUAAAGGGCGCGUAGGCGGCACCGCAAGUCGACUGUGAAAUCUCCGGGCUUAACCCGGAAAGGUCAGCCGAUACUGCGGAGCUAGAGUGCAGAAGGGGCAACUGGAAUUCUCGGUGUAGCGGUGAAAUGCGUAGAUAUCGAGAGGAACACCUGCGGCGAAGGCGGGUUGCUGGGCUGACACUGACGCUGAUGCGCGAAAGCUAGGGGAGCGAACGGG
rnacentral:rRNA from 1 species